rnacentral:rRNA from 1 species
AUGGACCUCAACAUUCAGCUUCAUGCCUCUGAUGGUGACCCUCUUCCUAAUCCCACUCGCUAUCGUCACCUUGUUGGCAGUCUUGUCUAUCUUGCUGUUACGCGUCCUGACAUCUCAUAUCCUGUCCACAUCCUGAGUCAGUUUGUUUCAGCUCCCACCCCUGUCCACUAUAGUCACCUCCUCCGUGUUCUACGAUAUCUUCGUGGCACGAUCUCUCAGCGACUUUUCUUUCCCCGCUCCAGCUCUCUUGAGCUCCAGGCCUAUUCUGAUGCUACCUGGGCUAGUGAUCCCUCUGAUUGA